rnacentral:rRNA from 1 species
CUGGCGGCAGGCCUAACACAUGCAAGUCGAACGGUAACAGGAAGCAGCUUGCUGCUUCGCUGACGAGUGGCGGACGGGUGAGUAAUGUCUGGGAAACUGCCUGAUGGAGGGGGAUAACUACUGGAAACGGUAGCUAAUACCGCAUAACGUCGCAAGACCAAAGAGGGGGACCUUCGGGCCUCUUGCCAUCGGAUGUGCCCAGAUGGGAUUAGCUAGUAGGUGGGGUAACGGCUCACCUAGGCGACGAUCCCUAGCUGGUCUGAGAGGAUGACCAGCCACACUGGAACUGA